rnacentral:lncRNA from 1 species
UCCUCAAACAUCAAGAUCCAUAUUUUGAGAUUUUCUAAUAAAUAAAAGAUAUUCGGGUCAAAUUUAAUGGGCAAAAGUUCACAUCAAGCAAGUCUUGCUUGGCCUAUAUAAGCCAAUGUUUUAAAAAAUCACAUGUAGCAGAUUGCUGAAGGAAAACCAAUGAGGCCCGCAAAGAUAGUUGAUUCUAGUUUUUUGAAAUUUGAAGUGAAACUAUACUGAAAGAAAUAUGUGGCAUACGAUCGAGGUUCAUUGGAUGUCAACUAAUUGGGAUGUCGGUGCUGCCUCUUGAUGUUUGUCCUUUCUCCCAACUUAUCCAAAAAAAAUACGGAAGGAAAUAUCGUUGUGUUAGCGUUUUUCUUCUUUAAAUGAUAUAUAGUUUUUUUUUUAUUUUUUUUACAGGUGAGGCUAACUUCCAUGUCUCUUUUGAGAAAAAUAUUUUGCAACGCAACGAAUGAAUACUAAUUAAUCUUUUGUUGUGUGAUGAAUUGUGUUAUCAUGAAGAAAUUAUUCCAAAUACUUCUAAUAUAGCCUAGGUAUCAUUCUCGAUUCUUAAGAGUUGUACGUUUGUGUAUAAUUUUCUUUAGCCUACGUUUUCCUAAACCUUAAUUGAGAACCAACAUCUUCUUUAAAGUUCAAAUUCGGUUUAUUGUACCUCCUAAUAUUGUAACCCAACUAUGUAGACAAUUGGACCUGUUCCAAGUUCAUCAACUUGUGUAUUUAUUGAAAAAGAAAACAUUGAAUAUAAACACAAAAUAUUUUCCUAAUAAAUUCCCAUCAAGAUAUUUUAUUCUUAUAUAAAACAUUUAUUUUACAUAAAUAUCUUAUUUGAUAUUUUUUAACAUAUUUAUACAUUAUAUCUAAUGGUUCAGAUUUGGUUAAAGUUUUAUUUUUAAGCCUAUAUAAACUGAGGUCUCCCAGCGAUGGUUAUUCCAAUCCUUGUUUUCUCUCUUUUAUAUAUACAUAUCACGAAGUGAUUGUUAGUUUGUUAAUAUAAGG